rnacentral:rRNA from 1 species
UCGAUGGGAAACGGGUUAAUAUUCCCGUACUUAUAUAAUCAGUGAUGGAGGGACGGAGAAGGCUAGGCAAGCUUGGCGUUGGUUGUCCAAGUGAAAGCGAGUAGGCCGAGAACUUAGGUAAAUCCGGGUUCUUAAAGCUGAGACGCGAGACGAGCCACUACGGUGGUGAAGUUGUUGAUGCCCUUCUUCCAGGAAAAGC